rnacentral:lncRNA from 1 species
GGGGCCGCCCCCCCCGCCGCCACCGCCAUGGCGGCCGCCGCCUCCUCCUUGCGCUUCUGCUCCACGUCGCGGAUGAUGUCGACCACGUCGUCGGCCGGCAGGUGGAGGCGGCUGGACAGCUCGAUCAGCUGGUCGAUGGUGCCGGGGUCCAACGGCGUCUUCGCCGUUGGGCGCGUUGGCGCGGUUGAAGAGGUCGUCACGGUUGGGGAUGUCACCGCGGUUGAAGAUGUCACCACGGUUGGGGACAUUGGCACGGUUGGGGACGUUGGCGUGGAAGGGGACGUCAUCACGGUUGACACCAUCACCACGGUUGGGGACAUCGUCACGCAUGGAGAUGACGUCACCACGCAUCAGCAUCCCGCCACGCACGGAGGUGCCACCACGCAUGGAGGUGUCACCACGCAUGGGGACACCGCCGCGCGUCGGCGUCCUGCCGCGCCCGGGGACAUCCCCGCGCACGGAGAUCUCGUUGGCCAUGGGGACCUCGUUGGCCGUUGGGAUCUUCUUGCCCAGGAAGAUCCUGCUGCCCACCGGGGUCUUCUUGCCCAUGAAGACCUCGUUGGCCAUGGGGACCUCGUUGGUCAUGGGGACCUCGUUGGUCAUCGGGAUUUCGUUGGUCAUCGGGAUCUCAUUGUCCAUCGGGAUCUCAUUGGUCAUGGGGACCCCGUUGGCCAUGGGGACCCCGUUGGUCAUGGGGAUCUCGUUGGUCAUGGGGACUUCGUUGACCAUGGGGACCUCGUUGGCCAUCGGGAUCUCAUUGUCCAUGGGGAUCUCGUUGUCCAUGAGGAACCCGUUGCCUACGGGGAUCUCCUGACCCAUUGGGAUCUUCUGACCCAUGGGGAUCUCCUGACCCAUUGGGAUCAUCUUGCCCAUUGGGAUCUCCUUGCCCAUGGGGACCUCCCCCCCCAUGGCGAUCUUCUUCCCCAUGGGGAUCAUCUUGCCCAUGGGGACCUCCUCGCCCAUCGGGAUCUUCUUCCCCAUGGAGAACCCUUUCCCUAUCGGGGUCACCUUCCCCAUUGGGGUCACCUUCCCCAUUGGGGUCACCUUCCCCAUUGGGGUCACCUUCCCCAUGGAGAUCACCCUCCCCGCUCCCCCCACCUCCCCCCUUCCUUCCUCCUCCUCCUCCUCCUCCUCUUCCUCGUCCUCCUCCUCCUCCUCCGACCUCUUGUCCUGGGCGGCCGCAGCAGGUCCAUGGAGGAGGUACCGGAGCAGGAGGUCGGAGGCCAGGUCGGCCAAGCGCUCCUCCUCGGCGGCGGCCUUGCGGGCGGCCUGGGCUUGGCGCCGGCUCUCGGCCAGCUCCUGGUAGCGCCGCUCCAGCAGCCGCUGCUCCAGGCUCUGCUGCUGCCGCAGCUGCCGGGCGCUGGCCCAGCUUCGGCCUCCUCCUCCUCCUCCUCCUCCUCCUCCUCCUCCUCCUCCUCGCUCUCGCUCCCGCUUGGCCUCCGCUCGCAGCCUCCCCAGCUCCUCCAGCUCCUUCAGGACUUCGUUUGGU